UGAGGAAUAUUGGUCAAUGGGCGAGAGCCUGAACCAGCCAAGUCGCGUGAAGGAAGACAGUCCUAAGGAUUGUAAACUUCUUUUAUACGGGAAUAACGGGCGAUACGAGUAUUGCAUUGAAUGUACCGUAAGAAUAAGCAUCGGCUAACUCCGUGCCAGCAGCCGCGGUAAUACGGAGGAUGCGAGCGUUAUCCGGAUUUAUUGGGUUUAAAGGGUGCGUAGGUUGUUCGGUAAGUCAGCGGUGAAACCUGAGCGCUCAACGUUCAGCCUGCCGUUGAAACUGCCGGGCUUGAGUUCAGUGGCGGCAGGCGGAAUUCGUGGUGUAGCGGUGAAAUGCAUAGAUAUCACGAGGAACUCCGGUUGCGAAGGCAGCUUGCCAUACUGCGACUGACACUGAAGCACGAAGGCGUGGGUAUCAAACAGGAUUAGAUACCCUGGUAGUCCACGCAGUAAACGAUGAUUACUAGGAGUUUGCGAUAUACCGUCAAGCUUCCACAGCGAAAGCGUUAAGUAAUCCACCUGGGGAGUACGCCGGCAACGGUG
rnacentral:rRNA from 1 species